GGAAUCUUCCACAAUGGACGAAAGUCUGAUGGAGCAACGCCGCGUGAGUGAAGAAGGGUUUCGGCUCGUAAAACUCUGUUGUUAAAGAAGAACAUAUCUGAGAGUAACUGUUCAGGUAUUGACGGUAUUUAACUAGAAAGCCACGGCUAACUACGUGCCAG
rnacentral:rRNA from 1 species